rnacentral:rRNA from 1 species
UAGGGGGGGAAGGGGGAGGUUACACCUGGGCAACCCUGCUUCAUAGAGGGGGAAUAGCCUUCGGAAAGGGAGAUUAAUUCCGCAUAAGAUCGUCGUCCCGCGGGGUACAGCAAUUAAAUGGAGCAAUCCGGUAUGAGAUGGGCCCGAUGCGCAUUAGCUAGUUGUUGAGGUAACGGCUCACCAAGGCGACGAUGCGUCGCCGACGUGAGAGGGUGAUCGGCCACAUUGAGACUGAGACACGACUCUGACUCGUACGAGAGGCAGCAGUGGGGAAUAUUGCACAAUGGGCGAAACCAUGAUGCAGCAACGCCGCGAUGAGUGAUGACGGCGUUAGGGUUCUAAAGCUCUGUCUUCAGGGACGAUAAUGACGGUACGUGAGGAGGAAGCCACGGCUAAAUACGUGCCCGCAGCCGCUGUAAUAUGUAGGUGGCGAGCGUUCUCCAGAUUUACUGGGUGUAAAGGUAGUGUAGGCGGAUUUGUAUGUUAGAUGUGAAUUAGUGGGGUUUAUCCUGAGUGGCGCAUGUCAAACUCGAAGUCUAGAGUGCAGGAGAGGAGAAGGGAAUUCUUAGGGUAGCGGGGAAAGGGGUGGUGUCUAGGAGGACCACCAGUGGGGAGGGCGGUUUUUUGGCCGGUAACGGACGUGGAGGCUGGAAAGCGUGGGGAGCAACCAGGAUUGGUUCCCUUGUUAGUCCACCCUGUAAACGAUGAAUAUUAGGUUAGGUGUUUCAGACCUCUGUGCC